rnacentral:rRNA from 1 species
UACGGAGGGGGCAAGCGUUGUUCGGAAUUACUGGGCGUAAAGGGCUCGUAGGCGGCCAACUAAGUCAGAGGUGAAAUCCCCAGGCUCAACCUGGGAACUGCGUCUGAUACUGGAUGGCUUGAAUUCGGGAGAGGGAUGCGGAAUUCCAGGUGUAGCGGUGAAAUGCGUAGAUAUCUGGAGGAACACCGGUGGCGAAGGCGGCAUCCUGGACCGACACUGACACUGAGGAGCGAAAGCCAGGGGAGCAAACGGG